rnacentral:rRNA from 1 species
GGCCGCAGUAUUUUAACUGUGCAAAGGUAGCAUAAUCAUUAGUCUUUUAAUUGAAGGCUUGUAUGAACGGUUGGACGAGAUAUUAACUGUUUCAAAUUAAUUUUUAUUUGAAUUUAAUUUUUUAGUCAAAAAGCUAAAAUUUAUUUAAAAGACGAGAAGACCCUAUAAAUCUUUAUAUUUAAAUUAUUUUUAUUAUUUAGAUUUAUUUUAUAAUAAUAAUAAUAAUAUUUUGUUGGGGUGAUAUUAAAAUUUAAAAAACUUUUAAUUAUUUAAAACAUUAAUAAAUGAGUAAAUGAUCCAUUAUUAUUGAUUAAAAAUAUAAGUUACUUUAGGGAUAACAGCGUAAUUUUUUUGGAGAGUUCUUAUCAAUAAAAAAGAUUGCGACCUCGAUGUUGGAUU